AUGGAGCCACCGGAUCCCACCAAGGAAAAGGAAUCUGCCGGACGAAGCGGAUGGAAGACAAGGCAAGAAGAAAAGUCUCUCGCUAAUGAUACUCAUGGAACCAUUGUGCUGACGCAUGCGAGUGUGAUUUUCGAACUGAUGCAGGAUCCGGAUGCUGAUGAGUUGGAGAUGCGAACGACGACGAAGCGGAAGAGGAAGCGGGUGCUCGUGGACGAGUACGUCGCAAACAAUGCCAAAAAGCUGUACUGGUACCGAGGACGCCACCGCCUGCUGGAUAUGUUGUUCCUGCCGUUCCGCCAGGCCGUCUUGCGGAGACUACUGUCCUUCGAGGUAGAGUCGUCAGGUGCACUUGGCUGA
rnacentral:rRNA from 1 species